rnacentral:rRNA from 1 species
AGUGAACGCUGGCGGUAGGCCUAACACAUGCAAGUCGAACGGCAGCACAGUGAGAGCUUGCUCUUACGGGUGGCGAGUGGCGGGCGGGUGAGGAAUACAUCGGGAUCUACUUUUUCGGGGGGGAUAACGUAGGGAAACUUACUCUAAUACAGCAUACGACCUACGGGGGAAAGCAGGGGAUCUUCGGACCUUGCGGGGUUGAAUGAGCCGAUGUCGGAUUAGCUGGUUGGGCGGGUAAAGGCCCACCAAGGCGACGAUCCGUAGCUGGUGUGAGAGGCUGAUCGGCCACCCUGGAGCUUAGCCACGCUCCAGAGUCCUACGGGACGCAGCAGUGGGGUAUGUUGGACAAUGGGCGCAAGCCUGAUCCAGUCAUCCCGAGUGUGUGAAAGAGGCCCUCCGUUUGUAAAGCCCUUUUGUUGGUAAAGAAAAGCAGCAGGUUAAUACCCCGCUGUUCUGACGGUACCCAAAGAAUAAGCACCGGCUAACUUCGUG